UGGAGUAUGUGGUUAAUUCGACGCAACGCGCAGAACCUUACUGGUCUUGACAUCCCGGGAAUUCCUUGAAAGAGGGAAGUGCCUCGCAAGAGGAGCCUGGAGACAGGUGCUGCAUGGCUGUCGUCAGCUCGUGUCGUGAGAUGUUGGGUUAAGUCCCGCAACGAGCGCAACCCUUGUCUUUAGUUGCCAUCAUUCAGUUGGGCACUCUAAAGAGACUGCCGGUGUCAAACCGGAGGAAGGUGGGGAUGACGUCAAGUCCCCAUGGCCUUUAUGACCAGGGCUACACACGUACUACAAUGGCCGGUACAAAGGGCAGCCACUUAGCGAUAAGGAGCCAAUCCCGUAAAGCCGGUCUCAGUCCGGAUUGGAGUCUGCAACUCGACUCCAUGAAGUUGGAAUCGCUAGUAAUCGCAGAUCAGCACGCUGCGGUGAAUACGUUCCCGGGCCUU
rnacentral:rRNA from 1 species